rnacentral:rRNA from 1 species
CCUACGGGUGGCUGCAGUGGGGAAUAUUGGACAAUGGGCGAAAGCCUGAUCCAGCAAUGCCGCGUGUGUGAAGAAGGCCUUCGGGUUGUAAAGCACUUUCAGUGGGGAAGAAACCCUUGGGGCUAAUACCCUCGAGGAAGGACAGCACCCACAGAAGAAGCACCGGCUAACUCCGUGCCAGCAGCCGCGGUAAUACAGAGGGGUGCGAGCGUUAAUCGGAAUUACUGGGCGUAAAGCGCGCGUAGGCGGUCUGUAAGGCGGUUGUGAAAGCCCCGGGCUCAACCCUGGGAACGGCAUCCGGAACGUACAGGCUGAGGUGCAUGGGAGGUAGGGGAAAUUCCCGGGGUAGGGUGGAAAGGCGUAGAGUUCGGGAGGAAUCCCAGUGGGAAGGGCGGCCCUUUGGACGGACAUGGAAGCGGAGGUGGGAAGGCGUGGGAAGAAACCAGAAUAGGAACCCCAAUAGUC